CAGCUUGUUGGUGAGGUUAUGGCUUACCAAGGCGACGACGGGUAGCCGGCCUGAGAGGGUGUCCGGCCACACUGGGACUGAGAUACGGCCCAGACUCCUACGGGAGGCAGCAGUGGGGAAUAUUGCACAAUGGGCGCAAGCCUGAUGCAGCGACGCCGCGUGGGGGAUGACGGCCUUCGGGUUGUAAACCUCUUUCAGCUAUGACGAAGCGCAAGUGACGGUAGUAGCAGAAGAAGCACCGGCCAACUACGUGCCAGCAGCCGCGGUAAUACGUAGGGUGCGAGCGUUGUCCGGAAUUACUGGGCGUAAAGAGCUCGUAGGUGGUUUGUCGCGUUGUUCGUGAAAACCUGAGGCUUAACCUUGGGCGUGCGGGCGAUACGGGCAGACUGGAGUACUGCAGGGGAGACUGGAAUUCCUGGUGUAGCGGUGGAAUGCGCAGAUAUCAGGAGGAACACCGGUGGCGAAGGCGGGUCUCUGGGCAGUAACUGACGCUGAGGAGCGAAAGCGUGGGGAGCGAACAGGAUUAGAUACCCUGGUAGUCCACGCCGUAAACGGUGGGUACUAGGUGUGGGUUUCCUUCCUUGGGAUCCGUGCCGUAGCUAACGCAUUAA
rnacentral:rRNA from 1 species